GGAUCCUGCGGAGACGCGGGAGUGCCUUCGGGAACUGUAAGACAGGUGCUGCAUGGCUGUCGUCAGCUCGUGUUGUGAAAUGUUGGGUUAAGUCCCGCAACGAGCGCAACCCUUAUCCUUGUUUGCCAGCGAGUAAUGUCGGGAACUCCAGGGAGACUGCCGGUGAUAAACCGGAGGAAGGUGGGGACGACGUCAAGUCAUCAUGGCCCUUACGAGUAGGGCUACACACGUGCUACAAUGGCGCAUACAGAGGGCGGCGAGCUAGCGAUAGUGAGCGAAUCCCAAAAAGUGCGUCGUAGUCCGGAUUGGAGUCUGCAACUCGACUCCAUGAAGUCGGAAUCGCUAGUAAUCGUGGAUCAGAAUGCCACGGUGAAUACGUUCCCGGGCCUUGUACACACCGCCCGUCACACCAUGGGAGUGGGCUGCAAAAGAAGCAGGUAGUUUAACCUUCGGGAGGACGCUUGCCACUUUGUGGUUCAUGACUGGGGGAAAGUCGUAACAAGGUAACCACUUUCCC
rnacentral:rRNA from 1 species